UAUUCGAAGAGUUUGAUUCUGGCUCAGAACGAACGCUGGCGGCGUGGAUAAGACAUGCAAGU
rnacentral:rRNA from 1 species